rnacentral:lncRNA from 1 species
GCUUCCCAGGCCUGGCCAGCAAGAGCACAAACAGGGAGCCAUGGAGGACUGUUGUUGCCGAAUACAGACGGGGUUUCACCGUGUUAGCCAGGAUGGUCUUGAUCUCCUGACCUCGUGAUCCACCCGCCUCAGCCUCCCAAAGUGUUGGGAUUACAGGUGUGAGCCACCGCACCCGGCUACCUGUCUCCUCAUUCUUAAAAGGUAAAGUUUCGAUGUAGCUGGAAGGGGUGUGAGGGGCAUUGUCAAGUCGCUCCUGUAAAGCUGCCAAAACUCCAGGAUUCUGCAUCACCUGAUCCGUGAGCUUUUCCGUCUUACUUGCAUUUUUAGCAGCUUCCACGAAAUCUGAAGGAACCCCAUCUGAAAAACUGUUAUCUGCCAUCUGAAUGUUUUUAUCCCCUUGUCUGGUAAACCAAGUCCCGUGAGUAACUAGGCUAAGGCACUCAGGCCAGUCCUCGGGGAGCACACGCCGCCCAUCUGGCUCGCACCGCACAGCUCCCAACAGCUGAGAUGCAAUGCCAAGGACUUUCUUCCCCAUCAGACAUGCCCUCGUCCACACGAAACUUACAAUCAAAACCCCAGUUAGCCCAGCCUGACCCCACAGAUGCUCACGAUGACCAUCGCCCUACGGAAAAACUCAAAUUCCUAAACAUCUAAUAAAGAGGUCCUGGACGUCUCCACCUUAAAAACGGGAAGCCUGAAUGCUCCUCCGGGUGCGCCGCGGCCCUCCGGGUACGCGGGGCUGGCUGGGCUAGCGGGAGAUUUGAGCUGCCAGCCCCCACUCGCCGCCCUCUACGCCUCCUCCGCUGGGCCGCCGGCGAGGAAGCCGCCCGCAGCGCAGAACAAAGCGACUUGACCUUCAGGGCAGUGGGCGGCAGGGCAGGGGCGCACCGGGUGCUGGGAGGGGCCGCUCCAGGCCCCAAGCCCCAGGCCCGCCGCGGCGGCGCUGCCCACCCUGACGAGGACGUCUACUUUUUCUUGAAAAAUGUCUUUCCUUUCCCAAAAGUGACUCUGCUUUGUCUGAAAAUAAUAUAACUUUAAUGGCUUUAAGUUAUUGUUUGAAAGGGUUCAGAAAAGACAAUAAAUGGGAGAC